CCAGAUAAUGGGUAUUUUUUGCCCUUUUAUAUGUUGCGUUCUUUUACUCUAUAAUGGGUGAAAAAAUCCUUGCGGUUCAAUAAUAGUGGAAUUCCCCAUCGACUAUGCAGCAGUAGUUUGUUUCCACUACAAAGAAAAAAGUGUUCAGAAACACUAGAAGGUCAAGGAUGAUUUUAAUGCCGAGUAUAUCCCGCAUAAGAAUGUCCUGCCGGAGAAGCAGUACCAUUUUCCAGGACAGCAACCCCACACAGCAAAAAAAGUUGUUGAAUAUUACAUCGAAACUGCUGCAACCAAGUCAUUCCCUCGGUUGUGUAAUAUUACACAGCCCGACGUACUCGCGGGCUUUUGGUGUAAUAAAUGCGACCGAUGUAAUUUUUCCGAUGUAAUAGUUUCAACGUACACAAUACGAUGUAAUCGAUGCGAUGUAAUAUGAAAACUAUGUAAUCUAAGCGAUUUAGGAGGAAAAAGCGAUCACAAAUUCUGCUCAAUGGUUGAUUAAAUUGCUUUUUUAUUCUUUAUCGAUCCUAAAUCAUAUUUAUGAUUCAAAAUCGAGAAUGAUUGAGCUGAGUAUUAUAAUUUUGUGAUAGAUAAAAGCAAUUCAAUCAACCAUUGAGCAGAAUUUGUUGAUAAAAAUAUAAAACAUGUUUCGAACAAAAAUAUGAAUACAGAGUCAUGUUAAUCAUCAAUUA